CGGUCCUAGAUACCAUGUUAAGGGGUACAAGCCUGCAAGCUCACCAUCAACAUUGAUGUGAUCUUGUGUGAGCUCCUGCCACAGAGGCUGCUACACCAGAGCUGAGAAAAGCUUCUAAAGAGCUUGCAUGUUUUCUUGGCUCCAUUUUGUUGACUGACUGACAAGGCAAAAUGCUGAAUUUUACCAUGUUGCAUCUGAUAAACUCACAGAGAAAGUGGAGGAUAGGAAUUUAAAUAAGGCUUACAAAGAGGCAGCUUUAGCUUUCUGGAACCCAAACACCUGCAAUUCUUUUAUGUCUUCCCCAUCCAGCAGCAUUCUUGGAAUGAUAUGUUUUUAUUGAAAGGUCCAUUUGCAGUAGCUCAUAACUGCAUCAAGAACACCAACAGCUGAAACACCAUCCAUGGCUGGGGGGAAAUCUGCUUUGGAGGGACAAAUUUUAUAGUGGUGAUGGGGAUAACUGUCUACUACCCCAUCCUGCCAGGAGCAGAAAUCUACACUGUCAUCACCCAGCCAUCUAUCACCCUCCUAACAGCCUCAGAGGAGGUCAGACAGAAUGGCUGACUGCCCUGAGUUCUGCAGCAUUGCCAAGAUGUGGAGCUCGGCUGUGGGAACUGGCAGGAGGAAAAAUAACCAUGUCAUCACUGAGCUCUCCCUAAGAAAACCCAUGCAAAUGCAGAAGAUGUCAAAGACUUGAGGAGGAGGAGGAGGGGAAUCAAUCUCAGUUUGCAGAUGGGCAAUGAAGACCUGUUAUUACUUGGCAGCCAAAUUCUCUACAGAGUCUGGGCAGAAAAAUCUUCCCAUCCUGUCCUUGCCCUCCCCAGGCUCAGCGUCAGCCCCCCCUCCCCCCCGAGGAGCUUGAGCACUGAGCUGCCUGGAGAGAUGGUUGAGACAGGAUGUGGGAGGGGUCCUCAUAAUGACAUUUUUGUUGAUUUUAAAGGAGAUUAAAUAAUUUUUUCUAUUCUUAACAAGCUUUAGUCAUUUUAUGAACCUGCAUUACUCAGCUUCAGAAGUCAGGGAACAGCAAUGAUGCAUUUCAUGCUCACAAAUGAGUUAGUUGCAAUAUUUUUUUCCUCAUAACCACUGUAUUACUUUACAGAACUUUCCAGAAAUUAGGAAAAUACUUGUUUUCCCUUUGUUGACUGAAACACUGGAACUAGUUUUGCUGGAAUAAUUUUUUAAACCUUCUUCUUCUAACUUUUCAUCUCUGUUUUUUCUUUUUCUGUCA